rnacentral:rRNA from 1 species
CAGUAGCCGCGGUAAUACAGAGGGUGCGAGCGUUAAUCGGAUUUACUGGGCGUAAAGCGUGCGUAGGCGGCUAAUUGAGUCGGAUGUGAAAUCCCCGAGCUUAACUUGGGAAUUGCAUUCGAUACUGGUUAGCUAGAGUGUGGGAGAGGAUGGUAGAAUUCCAGGUGUAGCGGUGAAAUGCGUAGAGAUCUGGAGGAAUACCGAUGGCGAAGGCAGCCAUCUGGCCUAACACUGACGCUGAGGUACGAAAGCAUGGGGAGCAAACAGGAUUAGAUACCCGGGUAGUCCCUGUCUCUUAUAC